AAUACGUAGGGACCGAGCGUUGUCCGGAUUCAUUGGGCGUAAAGAGCUCGUAGGCGGCCACUCAAGUCGAAUGUGAAACCUCGAGGCUUAACCUCGAGCCUGCAUUCGAUACUGGGCGGCUAGAGUCUGGUAGGGGGAUCUGGAAUUCCUGGUGUAGCGGUGGAAUGCGCAGAUAUCAGGAGGAACACCGGUGGCGAAGGCGGGAUCCUGGGCCAGUACUGACGCUGAGGAGCGAAAGCGUGGGGAGCAAACAGGA
rnacentral:rRNA from 1 species